GUUUAUAUUAUUUUAUGUUCUGCAUGAAUGUUGGAAAUCACGAAUCUCACCUUAAAAAUAGGCAACCUGAAUUUAUCUUUUUAUUUUGAAUUUUGUAUACCAUCUAAAGCAUUAAGAUUGUAUUUUGUUGCCUUAGUCGGUAGAUGAUAUGAAUAUCAGAUAAGAUAGUGCAUCUAAUUUUUCUCAUUAUGUUUAUGGAAUACACCUUGUAUACCAGACAAAUACUCAUAUUGAUGUCUACACGUGCUUAUAUGCAUGAUUUUUCCUAGUAGAUUUGAUUAAUCAAUAUAAAGUGUUCGUUGAUUGCUCCCUUUUUUUUUUUUAUCAAU
rnacentral:misc_RNA from 1 species